UACGUAGGGUGCGAGCGUUGUCCGGAAUUAUUGGGCGUAAAGGGCUCGUAGGCGGUUUGUCGCGUCGGGAGUGAAAACCUUGGGCUUAACUCAGGGCUUGCUUUCGAUACGGGCAGACUAGAGGUAUGCAGGGGAGAACGGAAUUCCUGGUGUAGCGGUGAAAUGCGCAGAUAUCAGGAGGAACACCGGUGGCGAAGGCGGUCUCUGGGCAAUGAUCUGACGCUGAGGAGCGAA
rnacentral:rRNA from 1 species